UACGUAGGGUGCAAGCGUUAAUCGGAAUUACUGGGCGUAAAGCGUGCGCAGGCGGUUUUGUAAGUCUGUCGUGAAAUCCCCGGGCUCAACCUGGGAAUGGCGAUGGAGACUGCAAGGCUAGAGUUUGGCAGAGGGGGGUAGAAUUCCACGUGUAGCAGUGAAAUGCGUAGAGAUGUGGAGGAACACCGAUGGCGAAGGCAGCCCCCUGGGUCAAGAUUGACGCUCAUGCACGAAAGCGUGGGGAGCAAACAGG
rnacentral:rRNA from 1 species